CUACAUGGGACUGUCCCUUUAACCCAUUAAACAUGUCGCUGUCAGGUCACUUUGUUCCUACAUGGGACAGCAGGAGACAGUCUGGGGUAGAGAGCAGCAGGAAACCGUCUGGGAUAAAGCGCAGCAGGAGAGCGUCUGUGACAGAGAGGAGCACGAGACAGUCUAGGACAGAGAGCAGCAGGAGACAGUUUGGGAUAGAGACCAGCAGACAUUUUGUUUACAAUGACUGCUAUGCUUGUAAAAUGUUG